rnacentral:rRNA from 1 species
ACGGGUGAGUAACACGUGGGCAACCUACCUUAUCGACUGGGAUAACUCCGGGAAACCGGGGCUAAUACCGUAUAACAUCUAGCACCUCCUGGUGCCGGAUUAAAAGAGGGCUUCUUGCUCUCACGAUGAGAUGGGCCCGCGGCGCAUUAGCUAGUUGGAGAGGUAAUGGCUCCCCAAGGCGACGAUGCGUAGCCGACCUGAGAGGGUGAUCGGCCACACUGGGACUGAGACACGGCCCAGACUCCUACGGGAGGCAGCAGUAGGGAAUCUUCCGCAAUGGACGAAAGUCUGACGGAGCAACGCCGCGUGAGUGAUGAAGGGUUUCGGCUCGUAAAGCUCUGUUAUGAGGGAAGAACACGUACCGUUCGAAUAGGGCGGUACCUUGACGGUACCUCAUCAGAAAGCCACGGCUAACUACGUGCCAGCAGCCGCGGUAAUACGUAGGUGGCAAGCGUUGUCCGGAAUUAUUGGGCGUAAAGCGCGCGCAGGCGGCCUUUUAAGUCUGAUGUGAAAUCUUGCGGCUCAACCGCAAGCGGCCAUUGGAAACUGGGAGGCUUGAGUACAGAAGAGGAGAGUGGA